GUUUACUUUAAUUGCAAUGGGAAGCCAUAGGAUGGUUGGGAAUAAGACAGUGACAGGACAGGAAGUCCGGAAAAGAGGCUCUAAGGAGGCAAGGAGACCAUUUCAAUCUGGGCAAGGUGGAAAAAAAUGAACUAUAAACAGUUGAAAUAACUCACCCAAGAUACUCAGCUAGAUAUGUGUGGUUUGAAGAGCUAGCAGCAACAUUUUGUUCUUUAUGCAAUUAUUCACAUGAGCCAGCAUGAAAUAUGAAGACAAAGGGAGAAGGACAAAAGAGGAGGAAGUGAUGGAGGAGACUGCUGUCAAUAUUGGUGACUGUGCAAUUCAAGUAAGACAAGGCUUGUGACACUGAGAAAUUGCCCUCAUAAAUCCUCUCGUCUCUCCUCUUUCAGUCCCUCUCCUGUCUAAUAUGCUCAGGUAUCUCUCAUCUUCGUUAAAAAUUAAAAAAUUCCUUCACCCUG